CAGCAGCCGCGGUAAUACGAAGGGUGCAAGCGUUAAUCGGAAUUACUGGGCGUAAAGCGUGCGUAGGCGGUUUGUUAAGUCUGUUGUGAAAUCCCCGGGCUCAACCUGGGAAUGGCAAUGGAUACUGGCAAGCUAGAGUGUGUCAGAGGAUGGUGGAAUUCCCGGUGUAGCGGUGAAAUGCGUAGAGAUCGGGAGGAACAUCAGUGGCGAAGGCGGCCAUCUGGGACAACACUGACGCUGAGGCACGAAAGCGUGGGGAGCAAACAGGAUUAGAUACCCCGGUAGUCCCUGUCUCUUAUAA
rnacentral:rRNA from 1 species